rnacentral:rRNA from 1 species
CGAAUUCCAAGCUUAGAGUUUGAUCCUGGCUCAGGAUGAACGCUAGCGAUAGGCCUAACACAUGCAAGUCGAGGGGUAGCGGGGAGUAGCAAUACUUUGCCGACGACCGGCGCACGGGUGAGUAACGCGUAUGCAACCUACCUACUACAGGGGGAUAGCCCGUUGAAAGACGGAUUAAUACCGCAUAAAACAGGGAUGCCGCAUGGCAAUAUUUGUUAAAGAUUUAUUGGUAGUAGAUGGGCAUGCGUUCCAUUAGCUAGUUGGGGAGGUAACGGCUCACCAAGGCAACGAUGGAUAGGGGAACUGAGAGGUUUAUCCCCCACACUGGUACUGAGACACGGACCAGACUCCUACGGGAGGCAGCAGUGAGGAAUAUUGGUCAAUGGGCGAGAGCCUGAACCAGCCAAGUCGCGUGAAGGAAGACUGCCCUAUGGGUUGUAAACUUCUUUUGUACUAGAGUAAAAAAGGGUAUGUAUACCCACUUGCAAGUAUAGUACGAAUAAGCAUCGGCUAACUCCGUGCCAGCAGCCGCGGUAAUACGGAGGAUGCGAGCGUUAUCCGGAUUUAUUGGGUUUAAAGGGUGCGUAGGCGGGGAUUUAAGUCAGCGGUGAAAGUUUGAGGCUCAACCUUAAAAUUGCCGUUGAAACUGGGUUCCUUGAGUGUAGAUGAAGUAGGCGGAAUUUGUGGUGUAGCGGUGAAAUGCAUAGAUAUCACGAAGAACUCCGAUUGCGCAGGCAGCUUACUAAGGUACAACUGACGCUGAAGCACGAAAGCGUGGGUAUCAAACAGGAUUAGAUACCCUGGUAGUCCACGCUGUAAACGAUGAUUACUAGCUGUUUGCGAUAUACAGUAAGUGGCUAAGCGAAAGCGAUAAGUAAUCCACCUGGGGAGUACGCCGGCAACGGUGAAACUCAAAGGAAUUGACGGGGGCCCGCACAAGCGGAGGAACAUGUGGUUUAAUUCGAUGAUACGCGAGGAACCUUACCCGGGCUUGAAAUGUAGAGAUAGAUUGAAACAGUUUAGCCAGCAUGGCUUCUAUGUAGUGCUGCAUGUGUCGUCAGCUCGUGCCGUGAGGUGUCGCUUAGUGCCAUAACGAGCGCCACCCACAUUGUUAGUACUACAGGUCAAGCUGAGGACUCCUG